UCAGCCUCCACUUGCCCCAUGGAUCAUUGGUGUAUCCAGCCGCAUGGGUUCCGUCUGGGCAGGAGGGGUCCGCUUUUUAAGCUCUCCAUGUUUCUGCUCAGCUAACGCUCCAGAAAGAGGACAAAUCAGACCCCUUUUCAUCCGUGCAACCUUUGUAUUUGACGGUUCUUCGAGGGAAAACAAAGCUGAACCCUCCAAUACCUGGUACUCAAGAAGAGAAGGAAUUUCAAGGAAACAAGUUCAAGUUGUUUGCAUAACCAUGAAAGAAGUUAGAAAGAUGAAAUGCAGAGACAAAGCUUAUUAUGAUGAAUUCAGUUUAGAUCACUCAAAACGAGUAAUGACGCAUAAGAGGGUUAGUCGGAAAAGAAUUUCAGUUACAUUUAAAGAUGCUGACAGGUUGAGUCUUUGUUAGGUCUUAGCAAACAGAAUAUGCAGGUGCAGGUAGGAGUCUUGCUAAAUCAGACAGCUUUAGUGAUGUUAGUCAUGCAUGUCUUCAGUAAUGAUGACUUUAGCAUCAAAUGGAAACACAAAUAUACUCCUGUCCAUAGAGACUAAUA